rnacentral:tRNA from 1 species
GGGAAUGUGACUUAGUGGUAGAAUGCUUGCCUAGCAUGCAUGAAGCCCUGGGUUCAAUUCCCCAGUACCA